GCCGGUGUUCUGUUUAUCUGUGCUACCCGUAAAUCCGCCCGUUACACCUGUGGAUCUGAGAGUGGAGGCUCAUAUUCAGCCAGAACCAAAAGGCAAAAAACUUAUUGUUUUCUUCCAAACAAACCGAAUAAGUCGAGUAACGCUUCUCCAUGCCGAUAAUGUUAGCUAACAGGUUAGUUAAUGCCAGGAAUAAACCAAAUCCUCUUUAAUUUUGCUGCAGAAGUUGUUCUCAGUGUUGCUCUCCACACAAUUUCUGUGAAGAAAUUAUUCACAGAUUAGAAAAAGUCAGGAAGGAAGGAGACAUGCAGAAGAGAAGCGAGUAUCGAGCCAAACCUUUUAUCCAGCCGAGGUCAAGUUUCGGCCAGAUGUUGGUGCCGCUCUCCGCAGUCUGGACACACACUCGCUCCGCUCCGUCUUGGUUUCAGUCCUGCGUUCAGCAGGCGUUUUCUGUGCAGAGAUAAUUAGCAUCUUUCCAGAUUCGGGGCGUUUUGCAGACGCAGAGAAGCAGGUAGAGAAAACUCUCCACCCUUACUUCGUCCUUGGUUUUGAGUUUGAUGGCGCAGGGGGAAAUCCUGUCUCCCCUCCGCUGAGGUCGCCUGGGCGCAUCGUUCCUGUAAUGACUGUUAUUCCUCGUUUCAGAUAAACCUCCAGACGCUCCAACCUGAAGGGGCGCUCCGAGUUUUCCACGGCCGCAGGCUGGAAGAGGCUUUAAUGACCCACUUCAGAGGAACCCGCCGAACUGCAGACUUUUGAUGAGGUUUAUGCUGCUUUUAAACUCAAUGCACACAAAACAUCUACGAGGGCCAAACGUAAAACAGCAAAUUUUCACCAAAAAUCUGGUUUGUGUCCAAGAAUUUUACCUAAAGUCACAAUUUUGGAGAUAAAUGUGAUGAAUUUGUUUGAUUGAAGACAUAAAUUUAUGACAUAUGUUAGUUUAUCGGCUUAUUUUAAAUAUUACACUUAAUAAAGACUGUACACCUUUUGAGCUGCGGCAAAUAAAAGCUAAAUUUUAUGUCAACAAUGGGAAAGAAGUAUAAACUAAUAUUAAAGCUCGAUAUUCUCUGAUAUUAUGUUAAAGGUUUGCUAAAAGCUAAAGUGAAGCAAUGGCGUCAAUUUAUGUAGAAAACAAUUAUAUAGGACUACAUUUCUGCCAAAAACUUUCUAGAGGAAACAAAUUUGAAAAGUCAAAAAUUUGCUAGAAAAAAAACCGUAAG